rnacentral:snRNA from 1 species
AUACCUAAUGGCAGGGGAGAUACUAUGAUCAACAGUUGGUUUUCCCCGUGCAAUGCUUAUCCAUUGCCCUCCAGAUGUGAUCCCCUUGUAAUUUCCCCAAAUGUGGGAAACAUGACAGCAUAAUUUGUGGUGGGGGGGACUGUGAUCACAUUCUCCCC